AAGAAAAGUUCCACCUAAAAAAACUUCAAUAGUGGACAAUCGGCAUUAAGGUAGGGAGUGGACAAGGAUACUACCCCAUUCCGGAUUACCAGCGCAUCCUACCAGCAUGCGAAGAUAAAAUCUCAUCUCAUCCGAGGACUUACUGGUUAACAAAAUCAGAAGGUGAUUCUAUUUGCCGUUCCCGGGAAGUUCUGCCCAGGUACGCCGAGAAAGCGGCUCAUUUGAAAGCGACAUGAGUGGAGAAAUUUUCGAUCAACGAAAGUCAAGCGGCAAGGCCUACAAAGUCGCUGGAAAGAUAGAACAUAGCGGAUAAGGAACUGAAUGCGCUGCCAAGAAAGGCGGAAAUCUCUAAAGAAGAGGACGGAAACGCCCGAAAGCUGCACGGUUAUAUACGUUAUGAUUACUACUUUCUGAGGGUUGGAAUCAUCUUCUGGUUUGACGAGCGAUCUUCUUGCAUGGAAAUAGCGAAGACUAAAGAGGGUCGCACGAAGACGGCGGUAAAAGGAUAAUCAAACAAAACCCUUACUGUACCGGAUUCGGACCAGGCUUGACGUAGCUCUUCGGCGGCUUACAAUGCUUCGAACGCAAAUAGUUGCAAGAAAAAUUAAAUGGACUAAACUAAUCAGUUACCGAAUCGGCUAAAAUGAUCAACAUUGAAAGGUCUGUUGCGCAGUGCCGAAUAACUGCUUCAUCGUUGAACGCAAAUAUGUGAUGUACAUUGCGACAAUCAAUAUUGUUACGGACAAGUACCUCAUACGUGUAAUGAACGGGAGGAAAGGUUUAGGUGUGCGGAGGACAAUGAUGGGCAACUGGAC